AAAAGAAAUUCUUGGGUAUUCUUGGGAAUGAAAAGUAGGUUAAAAACUUGGCCUCUUUCUUUGCCCUCACAUCUAGUCAGAGAUUUCAAAAAUCCCUCGGCAGUGAAAGCCUGGAGUCCUAACUACUGGACCGCCAGGGAAUUCCCUCCAAGGUAUAUUAUUAAGUUAAAAAAAGUAAAGAACACUAUGAAUUGUUUGUUACCAUUUGUGUGUGUUUGUGUUUUUUCACACUAUAUGCACAGAACAUCUCUGAAAAGAUACACAGCAAACUGAUCAUCUUUGUGGAGGGAAUUGGUGGCUGGAAGACAGUGGAAGGAAGAGGAUUGACUUUUCACUGCAUAUCCUUUUGAAUCAUUAGAUUUUUGAGCCAUAUGUAUGUAUUAUCUAUUCAAAAUUAUUUUUAUUUUUUGACAGCUUUCUUAAGCUGGACUUGACAUUCAAUAAGCUGUGCAUAUUUAAAGUGCACAAUUUGUUUCGACAAAUGGAUACACAAUGGAACCAUCACCACAAUCAAGGGGAAUGUGAUGAUCCUUUACCCGAGAAUGGAUGUGAAUCACUUUACAAUCAAACAGCAGCGCACAUAGGUGGAAUCAAUAUCAUUAUCGUGAUCUCAGAGGCAGUGUAGAGUGGAAACAUAGUCUGGCAAUGACCCCCUUGGCCACACCUGCUCAUGGAUUUUCCAUUUUCCCUCUUUAUGGGCAUCUUUUAAAAAGAGAGGCAAUAAAAGAGUAAGAGUCACCUCAUCAGUUGAUGAGUAAGGCCCCAUCAAUAAUCCCCUGGAGCUCUACAUUAAAUUGAUUAGCCAUCUGUCCUCUCCAGGGUCUCCCACACAUUGCCAAACUUCCAUCUCUUUGCACUUGGUAGACAUACUUUUACAGCAUGUCUUUACUUCAGCUUCACUUAUAGUCACUGACAUGGGCUGAAUUGUGUCCCUCCAAUUCAAUGUGUUGAAGUUCUAACCCCCAGUACCUCAGAAUGGGACUGUAUUUGGAGACAGAGCCUUGAAAGAGAUAAUUAAGACAUAAUGAGGUCAUGCAGAUGAGCCCUAAUCCAGUAUGACUGGUUUCCUUACAAGAAGAGGAGAUGGGGACAUAGACACACACAAAGAACCAUGUAAAGACAGAGACAAGACGGCCAUCUACACGCUGAGGAGAGAA